ensembl:lncRNA
GUGAAAAUGGCUUACCUAACUUUGAGAUUCUUGUUGCUGUACUUCAUUCUAAAAGUGACUGCCAUAAAGCUCUGGUCUCCUCCCGGAUGGAUGAUUAAAAUGCCAUGUCAAUAUGAAUAUGAGGCUCAAGGAAGUAUCCAGCAGUUGUCCCUACAGUGGAGAAGCCCCAGGAACCAGCUCCUCUGUCACCUGAUCAAGCACAAAACGUACAGCAACUGCACAGCUGGAUAUUCAGUGCACUACAACCCAGGGAAUAUUACUCUCAUCAUCGCUGAGGUGAGGCAGGAGGACUUUGGGAGGCAUGUGUGUUCUGUGAGCAAGCUUCAUGAAUUCUCAGACUUCAGCAUUGAAUUAUACCAGAAGGAAGGUGAGGUUGGCGCAUUAAAUAAACAUUCACAUUAAUAUCUUUUAAUUGAACCGUGAUGCAGUUAUCUUUCAUAGAUUGAAUGCAUGAACCGUAUUAAGUUUCAUACUAACUCACAUUGUGAAAUCUUGUAAUAUGUUUAGAUCUCUCUGCUGAAUUACCAAAAGGCAAGGUAGAUCAGUCAGGUACAGUAUGUAAUUGUAUUCACUUAAUUGAGAAUUUCAAUUCAAAGAGCAUUAAUGAAAUGUCAUGGGUAGUUUUUGAGAUGAUAUUAGUUUAUUCAUUGAGUACCUAACUCUUACCCACAGGUUCUGCAAAGGAUCAUUUCUUCCUUCUUGGGUGCAGUCUUUUUGUAUCCAUAUUUGGGUAAUAGGACAAGAAUAAUGUUCAUCAUUACAAUAAUGAUCACCAGACUAAUGUUUCAUAUUAGAUGCCAUAUAUUCUGAGAUAGCAAUUACCUGGGAUUUAUACAGUCCAAAAAUAAGAAGUCAAUGUUUUAUUAUUGUUAUUUUUUUCAUAACAGUACCACUGGAUGGCAGUAUACUCAUAAAUAUCACUGAAACACAUUUUUUAAGCUACAAGGCCUAAAGUAGCCUACUUUAUAUAUAAAAUAAUAUAUAUAUAUAUAUAUUAUNNNNNNNNNAUAUAUAAAACAACAUAACACAAACACUACAAAAUGCAUUGCAUCAUUCAAAAUAAUGGAAAAAAAAAACACCUGUGGAAAAUCAAUAUGGAAAAUUCUAUCACAUCAGCAUAGUACAUUGGGCCCUAUUUUAUAGACUUUUCUUGGAAUGUCAUUUAUUUAUUUUAAAAUUAGCAUGGGUAUAAGAUUUAAGUUCUUUCGGACCUAUCAACCAAGUUGCUUUGUGCAUCAUUGUUGUCACUCAUUCAGAAUGCACAGUGUGUUUAUGCAUGUGCAUGUUUAAAUGUGUUAAUAGUGGGGGUGUGUAAUGCCAAAUCAGCAUGUCAAUUAAAUGACAAAAUAAAUACAACAAAACAAAGGUUUUAAAAUACA